UCACUGAACACUGCAGUACGUACCGUAGACAUCUCUGACGUAUUUGAGGAAUUGUCUAUAUAUUGUUUCUUCAACCCUCCUCCUAUUAGUCCCUUCCUCGCUGAACUUGACGUCGAAUGUUUUGAUAAACUUUUGUACGUCCGCGGACGAACUGGUCUUUUUGCUCUGAUUCCGGAGAUUGGAGGAGCUGAUCCAGAAAGUCAGCUAAUGGCCCUCCUUGAAUAGCACUCAGACCUGGAAUUCAGAUAAAUAAAGAAGGAAAAUAGCAAUUUGCACAUCUAUAAGAAUCAAUUCGAAAAAUUCCCUCCUAGGUCCGCCAUAAUCUUCGGCGUUCUCCCCAUGGAAGUUUACUUCCAAUGGAUAUCUGAGGUUUUC